AUUGAACGCUGGCGGCAGGCCUAACACAUGCAAGUCGAGCGGAUGAAGGGAGCUUGCUCCUGGAUUCAGCGGCGGACGGGUGAGUAAUGCCUAGGAAUCUGCCUGGCAGUGGGGGAUAACGUCCGGAAACGGGCGCUAAUACCGCAUACGUCCUGAGGGAGAAAGUGGGGGAUCUUCGGACCUCACGCUAUCAGAUGAGCCUAGGUCGGAUUAGCUAGUUGGUGGGGUAAAGGCCUACCAAGGCGACGAUCCGUAACUGGUCUGAGAGGAUGAUCAGUCACACUGGAACUGAGACACGGUCCAGACUCCUACGGGAGGCAGCAGUGGGGAAUAUUGGACAAUGGGCGAAAGCCUGAUCCAGCCAUGCCGCGUGUGUGAAGAAGGUCUUCGGAUUGUAAAGCACGUUAAGUUGGGAGGAAGGGCAGUAAGUUAAUACCUUGCUGUUUUGACGUUACCAACAGAAUAAGCACCGGCUAACUUCGUG
rnacentral:rRNA from 1 species